AUUGAACGCUGGCGGCAUGCCUUACACAUGCAAGUCGAACGGUAACAGGUCUUCGGACGCUGACGAGUGGCGAACGGGUGAGUAAUACAUCGGAACGUGCCCAGUCGUGGGGGAUAACUACUCGAAAGAGUAGCUAAUACCGCAUACGAUCUGAGGAUGAAAGCGGGGGACCUUCGGGCCUCGCGCGAUUGGAGCGGCCGAUGGCAGAUUAGGUAGUUGGUGGGAUAAAAGCUUACCAAGCCGACGAUCUGUAGCUGGUCUGAGAGGACGACCAGCCACACUGGGACUGAGACACGGCCCAG
rnacentral:rRNA from 2 species